GACAGAGGUUGCAAACGUUGUUCGGAAUUACUGGGCAUAAAGCGCACGUAGGCGGCUCGUUAAGUCAUGUGUGAAAUCCCCCGGCUCAACCGGGGAAUUGCGCCUGAUACUGGCGGGCUUGAGAUCGAUAGGGGUGAGCGGAACUCCAGGUGGAGCGGUGAAAUGCGUAGAUAUCUGGAGGAACACCGGUGGCGAAAGCGGCUCACUGGAUCGACACUGACGCUGAGGUGCGAAAGCUAGGGUAGCAAACGGG
rnacentral:rRNA from 1 species